ACCUACGCAUGUAAUAACCGCCAAUUGCAAUAUUUGAAAAAAAAACCGAUCAACCACUGUUUUGCUGUUGAUAAGUCCGUCGAUAAUUCAUCAUAAACUAAAGGAACACAGGUCAGAUUCGGACAACGACUUCAAAGUCAUUCGCAGAAUAGGCUAAAUAAUUGGACGACGGAUACACUGGAUGAUAAUGUAGAUGGUCCAGGAUUAUCAGGGAAGGAUACUACAGAUGCUGAACACAGAAAACCGUUUACAAGAAAACAACUGGAGUUUGUGAAAGCUUCAAGGAAUUAAUCCUGCUGGGUACCCAUUCACUUCACCUUGCUCGAGUGCAGCACAGUGUGGAUAAAUGUGUUGCUGAAGGAAAACACCAUUGCUAGGAUUUGAACCCACGACCCUCUGUUUGAAAGGUGAGAGACAGAACCACUUGACCACGACGCACCCGCAAUUUACAAGCUGAUGUCAUAUCCCCACUUGUUCUUUAGUAUUUUAUAACAAGAAGUCCUGUUUAUUCACAUUUUGACCUCCAAGAACUAAAUAGUGGAGUGAAAAUGUAUUUAAUGUGAACAUAUGCAUUGCUGGAAAUCACUUCAUGAUAUGUGGGACAAAUCAUACACACGUGUUUGAAAAUAUGAAAUAAUUAUGGUUUCAUUCUAUUACAUAAGCCUAACAAAUAUUCCUGACGAUCGUGUGCACAUUCCAGUAAUAUUUCCCAAAAUGUUGCUAAACUUUCACAUUAAAGACUUCGUUAUCAGAUUUUAAUGAAAUUGUCAACAUUAUGCUUUUCUGAUUCAUUCUCUUCUUACCUAAAUCUCUCCUUUUCUCAUGCUUUCACUCUAUGGUCCCCUUCAUUCUCCUUAUCACUAUGUUAUAGGUAAAAUGUAACCGGUCGUCUAACCCAUUUGAUUGAAGGGUUAGGUACCCGGUACUCUACUCUAGGUACUCACAUUUAAAAGUUAUGUGAUUCAAACACAAAGUGUACAUCAGACAAACAAAAAACAGUGAAAAUUUCAUCAAAAUUGAAUGAGUAUUAACGAAGUUAUGACGAAUUAAUGUUGUUUUUUUUUUGGUAAAACUGUUCUCUGCAUGUCCUCAUUAAAGGACAAGUCCACCCCAACAAAAAGUUGAUUUGAAUAAAAAGAGAAAAAUCCAACAAGCAUAACACUGAAAAUUUCAUCAAAAUCGGAUGAAAAAUAAGAAAGUUAUGACAUUUUAAAGUCUCGCUUAAUUUCACAGAACAGUUAUAAGCACAUCCUGGUCUGUAUGCAAAUGAAGAGACUGAUGAUGUCAUCCACUCACUAUUUCUUUUGUAUUUUAUUACAGGAAAUAUGAAAUAUUCUAAUUUUCUCCUCAUUGUCAAGUGAUACAACGAUUAAUUCCUCCCUGAACAUGUGGAAUUAGCAUUGUUUAAUACUAUAUGGUUCAGUCAAGUUGGUCCUUAUUGUCAAAUCUAUAAAAAAUGAAAUAUUGUAUAAUUCAAACAAUAAAAAACAAAAGAAAUAGUGAGGGACAUCAUCAACUUUCUCAUUUGAGUUGUGCAUAUCACUGUUUUGUGAAAAAUAAGUGAAACUUUAAAAUGUCAUAACUUUCUUAUUUUAAAUCCAAUUUUGAUGAAAUUUUCAGCACUAUGCUAGUUUGAUUUUUCUCUAUUUAUUCAAGUCAGCAUUUUCCUGGGGUGGACUUGACCUUUAAUAAACAAGAUCCCAAUUUAUAUAUUUUUUUGUAUUAUAUGAAUUCAAAUUUUGUCAGCUAGGUUGUAAGAAUUUACGAUUGACUACUGAUUUACUGUGUAAGACAAUAAUCUUAUUUUUUCUCACACAUAGUUAAGUAAUUCAUCUGAUUCAACACAACAAAAAUAGACAAAAAAGAAAUAAGUGGGUAUCUUGUAUAUAUUAUUUUCUAUAUAUUUUGUAAAAUGUUAGAAAAAGAGGUCUCUAAUUUUUCUUCUAUUUUUUCAGUGUUCCAAAUUGAAUUAUUUCUUUUUCCUAUUUUCAUUAUAUUUUCUUUCUAUUUGUGAUAUAUCACUUAUUUCUUUAUGUAUCUUUAUUGUAUUUAUGAUAAACUUUUGGCGUGUUUCUACAGAAAUCAUUAAAAAAACGGUUUAUCUUUACCCGAUUCGAAAAAACCUUAUCGCCCUUAAACCAACCUGUUUCUACAGACCGAAUAAUCUGAUUAACUCGCAUUUUGCGUCACAAAUACGGCGGAAAUCGGAAAAUUCAACCUAUAACCUCACAUUGCAUCUUGAUAGGGAAAUUUUCAAAAUUUAUGGUAGAUCUCACUCAGUGUAGCAGGUAUACACAUUGCGCGAUUAGCUGGCGAGAUCGAAAAGGCCAGAAUAUAUGCAUACUGCGAAAUUGCACUUCCGGGUUCAAGCACUUCCGCCAGACACAAUAUUCUAUUUUGCCCCGUGUUUUUACAGAAAAGUUAAACGGAUUAACAUGGCAAUAACCACCUCUCAGAGAUGGUUAUGACAAACCGUAUUUUGCGCGAUGCAGUUUAUCAAUAAACCGCAUCGCGUCUGUUUUUUACAGGAAAGUUUUCCGGGAUUCUGGAUACUUACGCGUGUAAUACCUUUUAACGAUUCUAUGUAGAAACACGCCGUUUGAUAAUCUUUUUAGGUGAAAAGAAAAUAGAGAACGAUUUUGGGGUUCUUUUUUUGGGGGGGGUACUAUUUUCCCCCUUUUGGGGAUAUUUCAUUUCUUCUCGGUUUGGUACCCUUUAUUCAUUUGGCGAUGUGAAGGCUAUCACACAUUUUGAGUUUAAUCUUCGAAAUUUGGUGUUCAUUAGUUUGUCCAAACUCUGUCUUUCAUGUAUAUUUGUUUAUAGGAAGAUUAACAUAAUAUCUAUGUGGAGUGCAAUCAUUGAUCUCUUGUAGAGUCGCACAGUCACAUGUAUUCAUAAUACUGGUGCUUUCAUGCCAUACUUGUCAAUACUCUUUUGUACUUAAACUUAUUAGUAAAAAAAAUGUUUUAUUAAUGUAUGCAGAACAGUGAUUUUGCCAGGUACUCAAUCCAUGUAAAAAGCAAUCAGAGAGAACAGGUUUAUUCUUGGAAAUGUUAGUCUUCAUUUGUUGUGUUUUUCAAUCAAACUCUGUCUUGAUGCAUGUUUAUUUUUAGAUACCAAGACUGAUAGAAUAUAGAUGUCAACGAGUAGCAAAGUCGUAUAUAUUCAUUACAUAACUUAUUUGCUUUAAUUAUAAAGUCUAUACUUGUGAAUACUCUGCUAUUUAUGCUACUUAAACUUCUUAUAGUAAAAACAUUUUAUUGACGUUCUUG